rnacentral:lncRNA from 1 species
CGUUAUUCAGGUCGGUUAUAGCUGACAAAAUUGUUAAUUCUCGGAUACAAGAGAUUUAAGAAAAUUUUGAUUUCUAUUCAUUUUGUUUUAUCUCACUCUUUCUUUUCAAAAGAAAAUAUAACAAGAUUAAAGACGCCGUUUGAAUAGUUUUUAGGUGAUCAUCAACGGAAGCCAUAAUCCUCACUUUAUACACACCCAAGCUCAUUAGUGUAAAUCACAAAUUAAUUGUUUUGUAAACAUUUUAAAUACUUUUUCAUGAACAUUAACAAUGUAUCACUAAUUAUUUAUCAAAAUUCUAUAAAAGAUAAUCUUAGGUAAACACUCAUGGAAAUAGAAUGUCAUAAAUCAAUACAGUGGUCAGUGACCGGAAAUUUAAUUACACGUGUAUUGUCAGAUUAACUCUUCAAUCCAUUUAAAUCCCGGAGGUCAUGUUUUGACACAUGUGUAUUAGUUCGAGAUAAAAAAAAUGAAUUUUGAAUGCUUUGUUUACCUUGGGACCGUAAAUUUAGUUCGACUCAAC